rnacentral:rRNA from 1 species
AUUGAACGCUGGCGGCAUGCUUUACACAUGCAAGUCGAACGGUAACAGGCCUUCGGGUGCUGACGAGUGGCGAACGGGUGAGUAAUGCAUCGGAACGUACCCAGAGGUGGGGGAUAACGCAGCGAAGGCUGUGCUAAUACCGCAUGUGAUCUGAGGAUGAAAGCGGGGGACCGAGCAGCAAUGUUUGGCCUCGCGCCUUUGGAGCGGCCGAUGUCGGAUUAGCUAGUUGGUGGGGUAAAGGCCUACCAAGGCGACGAUCCGUAGCUGGUCUGAGAGGGCGACCAGCCACACUGGGACUGAGACACGGCCCAGACUCCUACGGGAGGCAGCAGUGGGGAACUUUGGACAAUGGGCGCAAGCCUGAUCCAGCAAUGCCGCGUGCGGGAAGAAGGCCUUCGGGUUGUAAACCGCUUUUGGCAGGAACGAAACGGUGUCCGCUAAUACCGGGCGCUAAUGACGGUACCUGCAGAAUAAGCACCGGCUAACUACGUG